ACAGCCUGUUCCACGAUAUCGAAAGAACACGUUCGCACAACUUUUACACGACAAACAGCUGAUUUCCGUUCCACUAAAAUCCAUCAGAACGAAAAUUUGCACGAAAAUCAAAGCGAACGAAAACGUAAGCGUUUCAGUGUAAUUUUGCGUUCCACUAUCUUUUUUCUUUCGUACGCAUGCGAACACAAAUGUCAAAAUCAGUCACUUGUGUGUUUGCUGUCGAAUAAUAAAAAUUAAGGAAAAUUGUUUUAACAUAAACAUUCCUUGAUUGAAAAUGGAAAGAAAAAUCACGAAAAAACUACACAGCUGCGGGCACUAGUUGAGUAUAUGGGGGAGAAUCCUAAGUUCGCCAGAGGAGUGCCAAUUUUUGGAAGCAGCAGGCAAUCCCAUGAAGACCACUGAAAGACACAAACCUAGAAAAAAUCAUUUUUUUAUUAUUUUAAAAAUGUAAAAAUACAAUCAUACUUACUGGUUGUUAGGUACUUCAAAUAAAUUCGAAGCAUCUCUUAAAUGCCUCCGUGGCACAAUUUGAA